CAGGACGAACGCUGGCGGCAUGCCUAACACAUGCAAGUCGAACGAGGAUAGCAAUAUCCGAGUGGCGAACGGGUGAGUAACACGUGAGCAGCCUGCCUUACACAACGGGAUACCUACUGGAAACAGUAGUUAAUACGGUAUAAGACCACAGUACCGCAUGAUACAGUGGUAAAAGAUUUAUCGGUGUAAGAUGGGCUCGCGGCGCAUUAGCUAGUUGGAGAGGUAACGGCUCACCAAGGCGACGAUGCGUAGCCGACCUGAGAGGGUGAUCGGCCACAUUGGGACUGAGAUACGGCCCAGACUCCUACGGGAGGCAGCAGUGGGGAAUAUUGGGCAAUGGAGGAAACUCUUUAACCCCAGCAAUGCCGCGUGAACGAAGAAGGCCGUAAGAUUGUAAAGUUCUUUAGUCAGGGACUAAUAAAUGAAGGAUCUGAAGAAUAAGCUCCGGCUAACUACGUGCCAGCCGCGGC
rnacentral:rRNA from 1 species